AGCGAACGUUAGCGGCGGGCCUAACACAUGCAAGUCGAACGCGAAAGGGAUUCGUCCCCGGUAGCGUGGCGUCCGGGUGAGUAACACGUAGGAAACCUUCCCUAGAGAGUGGGAUAACGUUCCGAAAGGGACGCUAAUACCGCAUAAGCCCACGACCGCUUCGGCGGAUGAGGGAAAAGAUGGUCUCUGUAUACAAGCUAUCACUUUGGGAUGGUCCUGCGGCGCAUCAGCUAGUUGGUAGGGUAAUGGCCUACCUAGGCGAAGACGCGUAGCUGGUCUGAGAGGAUGAUCAGCCACACUGGCACUGAAACACGGGCCAGACUCCUACGGGAGGCAGCAGUGGGGAAUAUUGGACAAUGGGCGCAAGCCUGAUCCAGCCACGCCGCGUGAGUGAUGAAGGCCUUCGGGUUGUAAAGCUCUGUGGGGAGAGGCGAAAACAGUCGUCAAGAAACGGAUGAUUCUUGACGGCAUCUCCUUAGCAAGCACCGGCUAACUCUGUGCCAGCCGCCGCAGUAACAC
rnacentral:rRNA from 1 species